AACGAACGCUGGCGGCGUGCUUAACACAUGCAAGUCGAACGCGAAAGAGGGCUUCGGCCUUCGAGUAGAGUGGCGCACGGGUGAGUAACGCGUAGAUAACCUGUCCUUAUGUCCGGAAUAAUACUUCGAAAGGGGUGCUAAUACCGGAUGUUCUUGUUUUUCCAUAAGUUAUACAAGCAAAGAUGGCCUCUGUUUCAAGCUAUCGCGUAAGGAGGGGUCUGCGUACCAUUAGCUAGUAGGUGGGGUAAUGGCCUACCUAGGCAACGAUGGUUAGCGGGUCUGAGAGGAUGACCCGUCACACUGGCACUGGAAUACGGGCCAGACUCCUACGGGAGGCAGCAGUGAGGAAUAUUGCGCAAUGGGGGAAACCCUGACGCAGCGACGCCGCGUGAGUGAGGAAGGCCUUCGGGUCGUAAAGCUCUGUCAUGAGGGAAGAAGUGCAUGAUGGCUAAUACCCAUUGUGUUUGACGGUACCUCAAAAGGAAGCACCGGCUAACUCCGUGCCAGCAGCCGCAGUAAAAC
rnacentral:rRNA from 1 species